GGGUAUUGGCGGGCGCGAAUUCGCCCUUCAGGCCUAACAUGCAAGUCGAACGAGGCGCUUUUUGUAGCAAUACGAGGAGCGUCCUAGUGGCGAACGGGUGAGUAACGCGUGGGUGACCUGCCCCAAAGUGUGGGAUAACAGUCCGAAAGGAUUGCUAAUACCGCAUGUGGUCGCUGAGUUUAGAAGUUAGCGACUAAAGCAGCAAUGCGCUUUGGGAGGGACCUGCGUCCCAUCAGCUAGUUGGUAAGGUAACGGCUUACCAAGGCGACGACGGGUAGGGGACCUGAGAGGGUGGCCCCCCACAAUGGAACUGAAACACGGUCCAUACACCUACGGGUGGCAGCAGUAGGGAAUAUUGCACAAUGGGCGAAAGCCUGAUGCAGCAACGCCGCGUGCGCGAAGAAGGUCUUCGGAUUGUAAAGCGCUUUUCUGGGAGAUGAGAAAGGACAGUAUCCCAGGAAUAAGUCUCGGCUAACUACGCGCCAGCAGCCGCGGUAACACGUAGGAGGCGAGCGUUAUCCGGAUUCACUGGGCGUAAAGCGCGUGCAGGCGGUUCGGUAAGUUGGGCGUGAAAUCUCCCGGCUCAACUGGGAGAGGUCGUUCAAUACUACCGGACUUGAGAGCGAUAGAGGAAAAUGGAAUUCCCGGUGUAGUGGUGAAAUGCGUAGAUAUCGGGAGGAACACCGGUGGCGAAAGCGAUUUUCUGGAUCGUUUCUGACGCUCAGACGCGAAAGCUAGGGUAGCAAGCGGGAUUAGAGACCCCGGUAGUCCUAGCCGUAAACGAUGUGAGCUUGGCGUCGGUGGCUUAAACUCCAUCGGUGCCGAAGCCAACGCGAUAAGUUCACCGCCU
rnacentral:rRNA from 1 species